rnacentral:rRNA from 1 species
CGAGUGGCGGACGGGUGAGUAACGCGUGGGCAACCUGCCCUGUACUGGGGGAUAACACCUGGAAACAGGUGCUAAUACCGCAUAAGCGCGCUGUGCCGCAUGGCGCGGCGCGGAAAACCCCGGUGGUACAGGAUGGGCCCGCGUCUGAUUAGCUUGUUGGCGGGGUAGGGGCCCACCAAGGCGACGAUCAGUAGCCGGCCUGAGAGGGUGAACGGCCACAUUGGGACUGAGACACGGCCCAAACUCCUACGGGAGGCAGCAG